rnacentral:lncRNA from 1 species
GUAAUAAUCACAUUUAAAUUGUGUUGAGCUGGAGAUAUAGCUUAGUGGUAGAACAUGUUCUUAGUACUUAGUAUGCAGGAGGCUUUGGGUUCAAUCCCCAGAACCAAAAAUAAAGGAAACAAAAAGUAUAAAAGAAAAACAAGGUGAAGGUGUCAUUUUAUGUAAUAGCAUCAAAUGCACGAAUAACCUUAAUAAGCAGAGAAAAUAGUAUUUCUUUCAUUCUAAGUUUCUUAUAGAGAUCUUUAAAUCUGGAUCUUUUGAUCAGAUUUCUUCUUUUGACGCUUAGGUGAAAUUUUAUGAAGAUAAGGGAAAAGAUAUAUUUAACAACAUGUAUUUAUAUUUGGCAUUCUGAGUCUUUAAUAGUAUCAGAGCUGUGGGAGUAUUUAAUAGUAGCAGUUAUAGUUCUUUUGGGAGGCCAAUAUGGUAUAUGAGCUGAAACUAAAUUUGGAAGGACCAUAUGUGCUGAGAAGCUACUUAAACAUUGAAGACAGUAGAACAAAUACUACCAGUGACUUAACACAUAGAUGGAUUGAUCUAUACACUGUUGAUAAAGUGAACAAAAUUUAACACAUAAUCUGGACUAAAAUUGAAUAUCAGAAGUAAUAACAUCUUACUUUUGGUUUAAAAUGCUUUUUUUGUUUGUGGGUAGUCAGGGACCAUUUAUUCUUUUAUUUGAAGAAUUUCCAAAAUUUUCUUUAUCUGGGUAUUUAUUAAAUUCAGGGCAGAGAGGGACUACCACAUGCAUAUUACUGUUUUUGGAAUUACACUUUUUGGAAUUUCACAAACUGAAAAUCUGUUCCAAGGGAAAAGGGAUGAC